AGGGUAUUAGUCCAAUAUAAGACCUCUGAUUUCGGCUCAGAAGAUUAUGGUUUAACUCCAUGGUUCCCUU
rnacentral:tRNA from 1 species